rnacentral:rRNA from 1 species
ACGAACGCUGGCGGCGUGCUUAACACAUGCAAGUCGAACGAGAAAGUCCUUCGGGAUGAGUAGAGUGGCGCACGGGUGAGUAAUACAUAGGAACGUACCGAUUGGUGGGGGAUAACUACGGGAAACUGUGGCUAAUACCGCAUAAGAUCGAGAGAUGAAAGGGGGCCUCUGCUUGCAAGCUCUCGCCGAUUGAUCGGCCUAUGUCCCAUUAGCUAGUUGGUAGGGUAAAGGCCUACCAAGGCGAUGAUGGGUAGCUGGUCUGAGAGGAUGAUCAGCCACACUGGAACUGAGACACGGUCCAGACUCCUACGGGAGGCAGCAGUGGGGAAUUUUGCACAAUGGGGGAAACCCUGAUGCAGCAACGCCGCGUGAGUGAAGAAGGCCCUUGGGUUGUAAAGCUCUUUCGGCUAGGAAGAAGGUUGUUGCAGCUAAUAUCUGCAGCAGCUGACGGUACUAGAAGAAGAAGCACCGGCUAAAUCCGU